rnacentral:rRNA from 1 species
GAUGAACGCUGGCGGCGUGCCUAAUACAUGCAAGUCGAGCGAACAGACGAGGAGCUUGCUCCUCUGACGUUAGCGGCGGACGGGUGAGUAACACGUGGAUAACCUACCUAUAAGACUGGGAUAACUUCGGGAAACCGGAGCUAAUACCGGAUAAUAUAUUGAACCGCAUGGUUCAAUAGUGAAAGACGGUUUUGCUGUCACUUAUAGAUGGAUCCGCGACGCAUUAGCUAGUUGGUAGGGUAACGGCUUACCAAGGCAACGAUGCGUAGCCGACCUGAGAGGACGAGCGGCAAAACGGGGACGGAGAGAAGGCCAAGACGCCUACGGGAGGAAGCAGGGGGGAAUGUUGGAGAAUGGGGGAAACCUUGAGACAGAAAGGCCGCGUGAGGGAAGAAGGCCUUCGGGUUGGAAACCGCUUUUGUGCGGGAAGAAAAGCUCUGGGCGAAGACCCCGGGGGGAUGACGGUACCGGAAGAAUAAGCAAAGGAUAAAUACGUG